rnacentral:rRNA from 1 species
CCUACGGGAGGCAGCAGUGAGGAAUAUUGGUCAAUGGGCGAGAGCCUGAACCAGCCAAGUCGCGUGAGGGAGUACUGCCCUAUGGGUUGUAAACCUCUUUUGUCGGGGAGCAAAAGCCGGACGUGUCCGGCUGUGAGAGUACCCGAAGAAAAAGCAUCGGCUAACUCCGUGCCAGCAGCCGCGGUAAUACGGAGGAUGCGAGCGUUAGCCGGAUUUAUUGGGUUUAAGGGGUGCGCAGGCGGAUUUUUAAGUCAGCGGUAAAAUCGUGGGGCUCAACCCCAUCCAGCCGUUGAAACUGGGGAUCUAGAGUGUGCGAGAGGUAUGCGGAAUGCGUGGUGUAGCGGUGAAAUGCAUAGAUAUCACGCAGAACCCCGAUUGCGAAGGCAGCAUACCGGUGCACAACUGACGCUCAGGCACGAAAGCGUGGGUAUCGAACAGGAUUAGAUACCCUUGUAGUC